UACGUAGGGUGCGAGCGUUAAUCAGAAUUACUGGGCGUAAAGCGGGCGCAGGCGGUUUUGUAAGUCAGAUGUGAAAUCCCCGGGCUUAACCUGGGAACUGCGUUUGAAACUACAAGGCUAGAGUGUGGCAGAGGGGGGUGGAAUUCCACGUGUAGCAGUGAAAUGCGUAGAGAUGUGGAGGAACACCGAUGGCGAAGGCAGCCCCCUGGGUUAACACUGACGCUCAGGCACGAAAGCGUGGGGAGCAAACAGG
rnacentral:rRNA from 1 species